rnacentral:rRNA from 1 species
GACGAGGGAUCCUAGCGUUGUUCGGAAUCAUUGGGCGUAAAGCGGGUGUAGGUGGCUUUGUAAGUCAGGUGUGAAAGCCCCGGGCUUAACCUGGGAAUGGCCAUGGAAACUGGCGAACUGGAGUGUGGCAGAGGGGGGUGGAAUUCCGCGUGUAGCAGUGAAAUGCGUAGAGAUGCGGAGGAACACCGAUGGCGAAGGCAGCCCCCUGGGCUAGCACUGACGCUCAGGCACGAAAGCGUGGGGAGCAAACAGG